rnacentral:rRNA from 1 species
UACGUAGGGGUGCAAGCGUUAAUCGGAAUUACUGGGCGUAAAGCGUGCGCAGGCGGUUUUGUAAGCCUGUCGUGAAAGCCCCGGGCUCAACCUGGGAACUUGCGAUGGAGACUGCAAGGCUUGAAUCUGGCAGAGGGGGGUAGAAUUCCACGUGUAGCAGUGAAAUGCGUAGAUAUCGAGAGGAACACCGGUGGCGAAGGCGAGUCCCUGGACAAACACCUGACACUGAGGCACGAAGCUAGGGGAGCAAACAGG